CAAUAUAAAAAACCCGGAGCGACAGGAAAACCCAUCAGGAAGUGCCGUUCCAAAAGGCAUUACUUCCGACACCAACCAGAACCAGCCAGAACACCCGUCAUUGCUAGCUUGGAGUGUUGACAUUGACAGCUUUUGAACAUUUGUGGAGCAGGUGCACCAUGGCUUGCCGCAAUGUCACAACUGGUCCUUGGAGAGCCGCUGGUGGUGACGGGCUGCCUGUGUCCUCUCUGCGACAAAACUCCACAAAUACUCCACUCACCAAGUUCCAGAGGGAGAGGAUCACCAGACACCACCGGCCGUACUAAAGGAAGUUGCUCUAUGUAGGGAUGGAACAUGGCAUCUGCACCAGCUGGGACACACUUAGCCAACUUAACAAAGUGACUAAAGGCCGUACCAAGAAUCGCGAAGGCCAAGGCACGGACCUUCCCUUCGACCAGCAAGGCAAAGCCUUCGUCGCCCUUACCUUCAAUCCGUACCAAGAGUCGCCGUGGAAGAUUGUGUUAAGAAUAUGAAGA
rnacentral:lncRNA from 1 species